UGGCGCAUGCUUUCCGGCCGCCAUGGACUCGCGGGAUUUGUGGGUGAUCCUGGCGGUAGGUCACUGCUAUCGGGGGUCGAUUAAGCCAUGCCAGUCAAGAUGGGUUCAGACCCUCGGCGGACUGCUCAUAACGCGUGGAUAACCUGCCCUAUAGGUGGAGGUAUAACCCCGGGAAACUGGGGAUAAUACUCCAUAGAUUAGAGAUACUGGAAUGUUUUCUAGUCGAAAGUUCCGGCGCCUUAGGAUGGAUCUGCGGUCGAUUAGGUUGUUGUGGGGUAACGGCCCAACAAGCCUGUAAUCUAUACGGGUUGUGGGAGCAAGAGCCCCGAGAUGGAAUCUGAGACACGAUUCCAGGCCCCUACUGGGCCCAACAGGCGCCAAAAACUUUUCAUGCAGGCCACUGUGAUAGGGGAACCCCAGUGCCCGAUACACGGGCUGUCAGUGUUUUAAAACCAUCUUAAGAAAAGGCCGGCAAAACCGUGGCAUCCCCCGCGGUAAUACCCCGGCUUUGUGGAGGCCCUUUUUUUGGGCUAAUGCGCCCCAAGCUGGCUUUAAGACUUUUGGGAAUCCCCCGGUUAACCCGGGGGGUCUUAAAAAA
rnacentral:rRNA from 1 species